rnacentral:rRNA from 1 species
AGCGAACGCUGGCGGCAGGCCUAACACAUGCAAGUCGAACGGACCCUUCGGACUUAGUGGCGGACGGGUGAGUAACACGUGGGAACGUGCCUUUAGGUUCGGAAUAACUCAGGGAAACUUGUGCUAAUACCGAAUGUGCCCUUCGGGGGAAAGAUUUAUCGCCUUUAGAGCGGCCCGCGUCUGAUUAGCUAGUUGGGGAGGUAAAGGCUCACCAAGGCGACGAUCAGUAGCUGGUCUGAGAGGAUGAUCAGCCAAAUUGGGACUGAGACACGGCCCAAACUCCUACGGGAGGCAGCAGUGGGGAAUCUUGCGCAAUGGGCGAAAGCCUGACGCAGCCAUGCCGCGUGAAUGAUGAAGGUCUUAGGAUUGUAAAAUUCUUUCACCGGGGACGAUAAUGACGGUACCCGGAGAAGAAGCCCCGGCUAACUUCGUGCCAGCCGCCGCCGUAACAC